CAAUGGGGCUGAUAGAUUUUUGGUUGGUGGGUAUACUAUUAGCUCGUCUAAAGUCUUCUUGCUCGGAACUCGUGGGAAAGACUCCCUUUUAGCGUAAGUCAUGGUGGGCUGGCACCGUCACGUGUAGUCUAUACUUCUACAUGUUGGAAAAAGAGCGGAAAACAUCUGUUAUACUCAUGCCAACUUUUCCACCUCUCCAUUGAACUUAUCGAGAAAUAACUCCAGAAGAAGAAGCAGAAAUUGCUAGACUAAAAGUCAACAAUAUUACAAAACUCAGUAAACGAGAAAGGCAGCUUGUUCCUCAUAAGCUUAUCGAGACAACCCCGAUAUGGAACCGCAAACGCAAAGCUACCAAUCAUGCAGCUGCUAUGGCUGCAUGAGAUUGAUAAUUGAUUCCAUGAAGAAUAACAUGAGUUUCUGUUUUAUAUCUUGAUGGUUUGUGGAAACUAUAUGUUAUUGUGAUCAAAGUGAGAAACGUAAAAACUUAUGGGGUCGGAGUGAACUUUAGUGGUUUGAAUAAUGAGGGUUAUUGACACUAAUCGAUCUUAUCUUUUUAAUA